CCCCGGCGUCUCUCCCCGCUGCGGCACUGGAGGGCGGCCGGCCAAAGAGACCGCCUGACUGCCGCUCACCCCGCACAGGUGCCGUGCUGGAAACGGUGCUUGAGGAAGGCUGACUGAAAGGGAUGUAAUGCUCCUGUAUUUCCAGACCUCUGUGAUCUUGGGAAAGACCUACAGUAACCUUCUAAGCCAUUCGCUGAGGAAACUUAGAUACUAACG